AUCCCUUCCAGCCUCAGAGCCCGCCUGGCAGGACUACUGAGCAAGGCCUUGGAAAAUCGGAGCGAUUAGAGCGGACCUGAGUGAGCAGAAGGCUUUUCAGAAUUACAGCCUGAACUAUUUCUUGAGCAAUUUGGGAACUCAUUUCUAAAGCAGUCCUCAGAUUCACACAACGUAGUUUGUGACGGAGUAUGCCCAGAGCAGUGUGGAAGAUGAUCAAAGUAUGACAUUUCUUCUACCCCAGAGGCUGGCAUUUCUGCAGGCACAAAUGAGCUUGGUUUUCAAGCACUGCUCUUUGAACACAAGGAAUUCCUUUAAUGAUCACGCCGGACUAUAUAGACUUUGGAAUCAGACUCUUUGAAUUCCAGCUCUGCCAUUUACCAACUUUGACACUUUGGACAACGUCUCAUUCUGUCACCCAGGCUGGAGUGCAGUGGCACAAUUAUAGCUCACUGCAGCCUCAAACACCUGGGCUCAAGCAAUCCUUCCACCUCUGCCUCCUGAGUAAUUGGGACUACAGGGAUGGGGAAUGACUAUCUCCAAUUAAACUUCUCAGUAAAAUCUC
rnacentral:lncRNA from 1 species